rnacentral:rRNA from 1 species
UAGGGAAUCUUCGGCAAUGGACGAAAGUCUGACCGAGCAACGCCGCGUGAGUGAAGAAGGUUUUCGGAUCGUAAAACUCUGUUGUUAGAGAAGAACAAGGACGUUAGUAACUGAACGUCCCCUGACGGUAUCUAACCAGAAAGCCACGGCUAACUACGUGCCAGCAGCCGCGGUAAUACGUAGGUGGCAAGCGUUGUCCGGAUCUAUUGGGCGUAAAGCGAGCGCAGGCGGUUUCUUAAGUCUGAUGUGAAAGCCCCCGGCUCAACCGGGGAGGGUCAUUGGAAACUGGGAGACUUGAGUGCAGAAGAGGAGAGUGGAAUUCCAUGUGUAGCGGUAAAAUGCGUAGAUAUAUGGAGGAACACCAGUGGCGAAGGCGGCUCUCUGGUCUGUAACUGACGCUGAGGCUCGAAAGCGUGGGGAGCAAACAGG